GGAUUUUUUUAAUACAUAGGAUCAUUUCAUCUGUAAAUAGAGCUAGUUUUUCCUGCUCCCUUUGCAGUUUGUUGUAUUUUCUCCCUUGUCUUACUGCUCUGUUAGAACUUACAGUACAGUGUGGAAUAGCAGUAGCGGAAAAGGCACCUAUGUCUUAUUCCUGAUCUAAGGUGGGAAGCUUUCAGUCUUUCACCAUUGAAUAUGGUGUUAGGUGUGGGUUUUUCAUAAAUGCCAUUUAUCAUGUUAAGAAAGGUUCCUUCUACUUCUGAUUUUAUGAGAGAUUUUAUCAUGAAAGUGUGUUGCAUUUUUUCAGAUGCCUUUUCUGUGUUGAGAUCAUGCAGAUAUUUAUUUCCUUCUUUCUAUUGUGAUGUAUUACAUUGAUUUUUUAUGUCAAAUCUCUUAAUAUAAUCACAAUACCACACCGUAAAAAUGAUUAUUUAAUAUCAUCAUACAUCCAGAUUUCCCUGAUUGUCCCAUGGAGUUGUUCUUUUUGUUUGUUUGUUUGUUUGUUUGUUUUUUAAAUGGUUGCUACUUUUUCUGUUAAUAGUUGUGCAGAUAUUAAGAAAGGUAGUGAGCUGUUCCAUUUGGCCACUGCUUGGUUGUACUCAUCAUCUCCUCUACUUUUGCAGUAGAGCUCUGGUGAAAUGGUCCUAAGGUCCUCGCUAUGUUCAAAUUUCCAAAGUCAGAGGAUGAUUUGUCCUUAUCUUACUUGACCUUUAUGUAGCAUCUGUUUAACUUCUUAGUAUUGGCCACCCUGUUUAGCUUCUGUGAUUUUCCUUCAAGUCAAUACAGUUAGGAUGGUGGUCAUACAACUUUAUAUAUUAAGCACAGGAGCCAGGUGGUUGAGAAAUGAUUGGAAUUUGAUCAAUAGAGGCUUUUUUUUGAAAGCUUGACUUUAAGAGAAGAUAGUAAUGGGCCUUGCUGUUCAAGAUGUAGUCCUUGAACCAGUAUCAUCUGUAGGGCUUGGGAACAUGUUAGAAAUUCAGAAUCUCAGGCACUGCCCCAGACCUACUGAAUCAGAAUCUAUAUUUUCUCAAAAUUCCUAGAAGCAGCAGUUGAGGAUACCUGGGGGGAUGAGGCAAUACGGAGUUAUGGGCUGUUUUUUACCUUUCUUCCAGGGGAUAACCUUGAACAUCUUUAUUUGAAGGGGAGAAACCAAUGGAAAAGAAAGGGGGUUGAAAAUAUAGGAAUGAGGAUAUAUUAGAAUAAAAUUCUGAAACAGAUUGAAGGGAUAAUGUCAACAGCAUAGGUGAUUGGAUUAGCCUUUAAUGGGAGGGACUUUUGAGAACGGGCAAGGGGGUUAAAUGGAUAGAAACAUAAGUUAUUGGUUCUGGGGGAGUAAUUCAGGACAUGUAAUGGUUUUACUGUCAGUGCUUUUCAUUUUCUCUAUGAUUUUAUUAAGAUAGGUAAUAGCUAUAGAAGGAUGGGUAUAGGGUAAAAUUUUGGCAAUAUUCAUGUCAGUUGAAGGGAAUCAAGCCAGGGACAUAACAUGUUUCAGGCCUCACUGUUCACUGUCAACCAGUUAUUCUUAAAGGCCAUCUUUUCAUAUCCUUUUCUUCAUACCGGCCCCCCACUCCCAUACAAUUGUAAUUGAAAGGAUGUGAAUCUUUCAGAGAUUGUUGUUGCUUGUGGUUCAGGGGCACAACUUAAAAAUAAAAUGAUGAGGGGCACCUGGAUACUUACAUACUUUCAGGUUGCAAGUGGCUCUUUCAUACAUAUCUAGGCUUGUUAUGGUAGUUUAUUAAUCCAGGUUUGCUAGAGUGUAGGUUGAAUUGUCUUUUAGUUAAUCAUAAUUGUAAAUUUUUCUUUCCAGAUCAAAUAAUUGUGGGGUGCCUGGGUGGCUCAGUGGGCUGAAUGUCCAACUCUUGGUUUUGGCUCAGGUCAUCUGUUGCUGUGGGCUGAGCAUGGAUCCUGCUUGGGAUUUUCUCUCUCUCUCUCUCUCUCUCUCUCUCUCUCUCUCUCUCUCUU